GACGAACGCUGGCGGCGUGCUUAACACAUGCAAGUCGAACGGAAAGGCCCUGCUUGCAGGGUACUCGAGUGGCGAACGGGUGGGUAACACGUGGGUGAUCUGCCCUGCACUUCGGGAUAAGCCUGUGAAACUGGGUCUAAUACCGGAUAGGAGCCAUUUUUAGUGUGAUGGUUGGAAAGUUUUUUCGGUGUAGGAUGAGCUCGCGGCCUAUCAGCUUGUUGGUGGGGUAAUGGCCUACCAAGGCGGCGACGGGUAGCCGGCCUGGGAGGGUGGACGGCCACAUUGGGACUGAGAUACGGCCCAGACUCCUACGGGAGGCAGCAGUGGGGAAUAUUGCACAAUGGGCGCAAGCCUGAUGCAGCGACGCCGCGGGGGGGAUGACGGCCUUCGGGUUGUAAACUCCUUUCGCUAGGGACGAAGCUUUUUGUGACGGUACCUAGAGAAGAAGCACCGGCUAACUACGUG
rnacentral:rRNA from 1 species